ensembl:lncRNA
AUGUGCCAGCAGAGGAAUCGUCAGCUCUUAGCUCAUCUCACGAGCGCUUCUGGGACGGCAGAGCCCAGCUCUUUCCGCAUUUUGGGGAGCAGAAAGUGCCACCCUGGAGCCACCUGGCUGCCAAGAGAGACGCGUGUGGCGUUCUGGGGGGAGCCAGGCCCCUCUGUGCACCUGCCAGCAGCACGAGCUGUCUCAGCCAGGACAUCUCGUGUGAGAAGGGAGGUGAGAUCAGCCGCAAAGGUGCUGGGCUCUGACACGCUCACACCUCGGCCCUGCUGCAAGAACCUGGCCCCAAAAAGCAAUUUGUUAACACAGCCACAGAGAGGUUGGAGAAAACAGAAAGCCUCCAACAGAGAAAAGCUGUCUGCGAGGGAAAGCAAGGCUGACCUUGUGUGUCCUUCCUCCUGCUGCACCCUGAAGAAUCACAGCAUAUUCAGAAUUGGAAUUGAAUUGGACAAGGGUCGAGCCAGACUCCUCUGGGGUGAACAGCCCAUCCAGGGACUGAUCCUCGGCGGUUUUAGCACCAGGCUCUGCCCAGCUGAGACAAGCCCGGGUUUGUCCCCUCUCACUGCAUCACAGGGACAGCAGGACACGGCUGCAGCUCUUGCUGGGGGCAGGGAUCCAGGGCUGGCAUCUUCAGGUGGCAGCUGCCGAUCCUCCCCUCCUGCCCUGCCUGCUCUGCUCUGCUGUUCCACCUCCCACCUGGAGCCCUGGCUGGGUUAUCUCGCUUGUUGUGCACCCCAAAGCUCGCCACCUGUGUCCCCUGAGCCCCCUCUGUGCCCCUGAGCCCCCCGAGCCCCCAGGGGAAGCAGCAGGGAAGCCCAGCCCUCCCUCCCGUGGGUCUGCAGAGGCUCUGGGCCAGGCAAACACUUCCCUGCCGACCCCUUGAGAAGGGAAAUGCUGCUUUAAGGCUCCUUGCCUGCCCCUGGAGCAGAAUCCCAUCCCUGCUGUGAAGGUCCAUGGAGUGAAGGACCGCCAGGGCUCGGAGCUGCCGCAGCCUGAGCAGGACCGCUGGCUCCCCACAAGCUGCACCGCUGGGAAUUCUGAUUCACUCUUUGCUGUUGAGUCAGCCUCAGACGUCUGAACUGCUCCCCUUCAUCCCCUCCACCUGCAGGGGCCUCGCACUCCCCUCCAGCUUCAUUUUCUCCCGCAGCAAAUGGAGAAGGAACCCUGUGGAUGUGUUUUCUUAUUCCCGAAAUGCGGCCUCUGCUCGUCUCGCUGCGGCACUGCUGACAGCAGCCACAAAAUCCACAGAGUGAGGUGGGCUCAGCGCCCUGGGCUGCUGUGGGGUCUCACACAGAGGGGCUGUGCCUUUGGGUCACCAAGCUGUCCCCUCUGGGUGCUGCUGCCCAGCCCUCCUGCGCUGACCCAGCCUGGCCAGCUCUCCCGAGGAUCAACACCACCCCAGCUUUCAGCAGCUCUGCUCCUCCUCACCCUCCAGCUGUUAAAGACACUCUUCUCUGAACAGCUUUGAUUUUCAAGGCACUACAAAGAGGGGUUUUUUGGCAAAGAUUUCACUUCCCAGGCCUUUCGAGCGUCUGCAGAGAGUCAUUACAUGGAUUUGAAAAGCCAGGGGGAAAGGUUCCGUGUUUCCCCAACCUGCUGUGACCGCCAGAAGGGAAAAACCACUCAGUGCACGGGUACCCAGCGCUGUGCUGUUGGUGAUUUCUGAGGUUUGGACUGCCUGGGAGUUUGUUGUUCUUGUGUUUAUGAGAGACAGCAGCAGAGCAGUGAGACAUCUGCCACCAGGAGUGGCCUCACAGAGCUGUCACCUCCUCACCGUGGCCUGAGCUCGCUGCUUGGGAAGAGCUGAGCCAGUCCCACCCCGAGUGGCCAGAGGAUGGGACGUGGCUCCCUCAGUGCCUGUGUGUCCCCGGGGGGAGCAGGGGCUGUGUCCCCUCCCUGAGCACGGGGAUCUGCCGUGUGUGUGUGUGCCAGGAGUGUCCUGGGCCAGGAUCCCUGCAGGAGAGGAUUGGGAACAGACGGGACAAAGUCCGGCUGUGGCUGCUCCCGUUCCUCUCGCCCCAUCCCAGCUGCUUCCCAGGCUCCCUCUGCUUCUUCCCUUCUUCAGGAGGAGAAGCCUCCCUGCUGAGCCCUGCCUGCCCGGCCGGGAGCGCAGGAGCUGGGCUGGGCUGGGCUCACAGUGCCUUGUGCUGGGAACGGAGCACGGCACCGCUCCUGAGGAAAUUCCCUCUGGGACAACCGGCAGCAAACUCAGCCCCAUCUCCCCGAGGUGGAGCCUUCACAGGGGAUGGAGGUGGGGAGAGGUCACAGUGUGACCUCUGGGGCUGUGAGCUCCCCCCCGUCCCAGAGACCCCGUCCUGAUUAAACCGUGCUGGGAGAGCUCGUGUUUGGGACUCUCACCAAGCCCAAAGCUGCUGCCUCCUGACUUCUGACCACUGAAGCCAUUCCUUUGCCCUCUGGGGGCUCCCACCAAUUUUUUGGAAGGAUAAUUUUAUGCUCAGAACUAAAUUCUGUCCCUGCUUUCACCAGGGACUAGUUCUGGGCUUCAGGAUUGCUCUGAUAACUCUGCAAUUGCGUUGAUAGCUCCAGAGGGGAGCACAGUCCCUCCACAGAACAGAUGGAGACGCAUUUUCAGGACCAUUCAACUUUGCUGUAACUCCGUCUUUGUUACAACAAUUCCUUCCGCUGUAAUAGAGAGAGCAAAAUUCGGCCAGCGCUCUUGAAAACCUGUAAUCCUGAACUCGGAUAAAUUUAACCCAAAAUCCAAAUCCAGAUCCAAAAUGCCUUCCACACCUGCUGGCUUCAGUGGCACUGGGGAUUUUGGCAGCUUGCACAGCAGCAGCAGCAGCAGCAGCAGCAGCAAAUUCCGAAUAUUUUUGGUUGUGCCAAUCCGCGCUUGCACGUGCCUGCAAUGCAUGGCUCCGGCAAUCCCUGGGAAAUCUCCCCUUUCCCAGGAAAAUCCCAGCUCCAGCUUCCUCCACGUGGCCAUGUGUGCUCAGCAGGGACUCAGGGCAGAGGGAGAAAGUUGCUGCUUUAAAGCACUCGGUUCCAGGGGUGAAACAGAAUUUAGGAGAGGUCGAAAGCAGCUUGGUUUGGCAGAGGGAAACUCGUGGGAUAUCCAAGCAUUGCCACGCAGAGCCACCUUUUUUUUUGUUGUUUUUCCUGCUGGGCAAAGGAAGCAGGCUGGCAAUUCCUGGCCUCCACCCCUGCAGAUGUUUGGCUGUGAUGGAAAUCUGAGCCCUGGAAUCACAGGGAGGUUGUGAGCUCAGAGCUCACUGCCAGGGCUGCUGCUCUCCUGGACUCAUCCACGUCCUACCCAGCCAGAUUUUGGGGAGGGAAGGAGGGAGGAAGCGCCUCAAAGUGAGCAAAUCAAACCUUUGGAGCCUGGCCCUGAGAAUUCCUGGUUUAUCAGGAGCCUGUAGGCUAAAGUUUGGCAGCUAUUCCUCAUUCCCGUGGUGAGGAAUUGGGAAAGGUUCUUGUAUCCCGAGCUCUCAGAGCUGUUCUGGAGCUGUGGAAAAGCAGGAACGCAGCACCAGGAUGCAGGGCAGCUCCUGCCCAGCUCUCUGCAGGGCUGGUGCAGAAAUCUGUGAGGGAAGAGCACCAGGAAAAGUAUUUUCCAUCCAGGGGCAUCCUUAGUACCUGGAAAAUUAAAAGGUUAAAUACUGGAAAAGUUGAUCUAAGGGAGGAACUAAUUCAGGGCUUCUUUUUGUUGCUUUGUUCUCAUGUGUUGGUUUUGGGGUGGGGAAAGCAAACAGAGAGCAAACAGCCAGUGCAUCCAAUCUGGAUUAAAUCAAGCUUUUUGUUCCUACAAUAACUGCCAGCAGAGAUUUCAAAAAUUUAUCAAGGGCAACAAAACAGCCUUAAUUAACUGAGACAUUAAUGCUCCUUGCUUCUGAGCCUGCUUUUCUGCUCUCCUCUCUGUGUGAUCGUGGCAUGGAAUCCUGUCUUAACAAAAGCCACUUCCCAGUAGCCCACAGGAUGUCCAGGAACAGGAGAUGGGGUUGGAGAAUCUCCCUGCCAGUGCAAAAAUCCCUGCUUUGCUAAAAUCCUACAACGCAGGCAAAAUCCUCACAAUUCCCAAGGUUGAAUUCCCAUGCUCUGCUGCCUCGAAAUGCCUUUAAAAACCCCGGGCUGUGUGUGCUUUGUGAGCAGUCUGCAGCUUUUCCAGAGUGCACACACGAUUCCCCAGGCGGAGGAUGAGCGGAGCAGGAUGACUUUCAGCCGGGACUUAUCGCUUUUUAGAUUGCACCGAGUUAAAAACACGACUUCUGCCAGCUGCCCGGGGAAUUUGAUAUUCAGUGCCAAUUAAUUUUUGUAAUAGGAGCAGGGAUUUAUCCCCUCGGCUCCCCCAGGCACCUUUAGUCUCAGACUCAAAGGUUGGGUCGGAGUCUUUAAUUUUCCGGUGGCCUUUUCCCGGAGAGCAGCGGUGAGGACGGGGACUGGGCUGGGGAAGGUGGCAGCUUUGGGGCAGGGAACUCCCAAAUUUUCCACUGUAAAACCUUCAGAUGUGGGUAAAUCUCGCUGGGCUGGCCAAGCCCUGGCUGCUCCCUGCUCCUCGCUGCCCUCACAGCCUCGUGUCACUGUGCCUUCAUUCGCUCGAGGAAACGAUGCCAAGAGCCCAGCCUGGCACUCUCGCUUUGCAUCCCGUCCAGCAGCUGUGUUGGGGCAGGGGCAGCUCCCUCUGGAGCUGUUCCUUGUGCGCUCCCAGGGUAGGAUUGUGCCCAGGACGCAGGGGUGGGGUGAGCCCGAGCUGUGUGUGAUCCUACCAGUGCUUUAAGCAGCCAGAAACGUGGUUCUUUCCCCUACCUCCGAGCUCUCGAUGCUGCUAAAAUCUCCGCCAUCCGUCCCCCCCGUGCUCCAGCCCCUCUCUCAGACUGACUCUGGCUCUGUUUGCAAGAUAUCCACGUCGUUCUGAAGCAUGCACCUCUCUCUGUAUAGUCCCAAUCUUCUGAUUUUAUGGAAUACUUAUGCCUGUUUGCAUUACGGUCAGAAUAAAAAAGUCAACUGGAAGCUGGC